CAAUUACUCCCUCCGUUCGGAAUUACUUGUCGCGAAAAUGGAUGUAUCUAGACGUAUUUUAGUUCUAGAUACAUCCAUUUCCGAGACAAGUAAUUCCGAACGGAGGGAGUACCUA
rnacentral:pre_miRNA from 1 species